rnacentral:rRNA from 1 species
CUAUCAACUUUCGAUGGUAGGAUAGAAGGCUACCAUGGUUUCAACGGGUAACGGGGAAUAAGGGUUCGAUUCCGGAGAGGGAGCCUGAGAAACGGGUACCACAUCCAAGGAAGGCAGCAGGGCGCAAAUUACCAAUCCCGACACGGGGAGGUAGUGACAAUAAAUAACAAUAUAGGGCUCUAUUGGGUCUUAUAAGUGUGGAAUGAGUACAAUUUAAACCCCUUAACGAGGAACAAUUGGAGGGCAAGUCUGGUGCCAGCAGCCGGGUAAUUCCAGCUCCAAUAGCGUAUAUUAAAGUUGUUGCAGUUAAAAAGCUCGUAGUUGAACUUCGAACCUGGUUGGGUGGUCUGCCUUCACGGUACGUACUGCUCGGCCGGGUUCUACCUCUUGGUGAGCCGGCAUGCCCUUCACUGGGUGUGUCGGGGAACCAGGACUUUUACCUUGAGAAAAUUAGAGUGUUCAAAGCAGGCCUUUGCCCGAAUACAUUAGCAUGGCAUAA